AACGUAGGACACGAGCGUUAUCCGGAGUUACUGGGCGUAAAGGGCGGGUAGGUGGUGCGAUAAGACUGGUGUGAAAGCCUUCGGCUUAACCGAGGGAGGACACUGGUGACUGUCGGACUUGAGGCAGAUAGAGGGGUGUAGAAUUCCGGGUGUAGUGGUGAAAUGCGUAGAGAUCCGGAGGAACACCAGUGGCGAAGGCGACACGCUGGGCCGUACCUGACGCUAAAGCGCGACAGCAUGGGGAGCGAACGGG
rnacentral:rRNA from 1 species